AUCUAUCUUCGGGGCAGGGUGAAAUUCCCGACCGGCGGUAAGGAAAGAUAUUUUUUCCAAAGCCCGCGAGCCGUCCUUGUGAUGGCAGGAUCUGGUGAGAUUCCAGAGCCGACAGUAAAGUCUGGAUGGGAGAAGAUGGAG
rnacentral:ncRNA from 2 species